rnacentral:lncRNA from 1 species
CUACUUGGAUCAUGCUAGGCCUGGCCACUUCCCAGUGAAGCCAGUGGGAUGUGAAUGUAGCCAACUGACCUUGAUUGUGAACUGAAAAACAAGCAUUUCUCUUAAGUAACCUCUCAGGUAUUUAAAGAAUUUCUCAAACGCGACUACGAGAUAUACCAAAUCCUCUUCAUAUGUGAGGGGAAAAAGAAAAGUUCCUGUUAGCCCAGCAACAGUAGGAACAUGGACUAUUGUGAUGUGUUGUGGUCUGAACUUCAGAGCGGGAAGGAAGACCGGACCCAAAAAGUUUCUCAGAUUCGUCGGCUCAUAUUCAGGAAUAGGAUGCAAACACUAGAAGUGGUGUUUUCUAACCAAUGGAGAGGAAAUCGUUGCUGUGGACCAUGAUGAAGUUUGGAAGGGGUGUGACAGCGUGGCUUUCUGGCAGGCUCGUUAACAGAACCCCCUUUUUCACUUUGUAAAAUAAGACUUUGCCCAAAGAUGACCUAGGACCUUCUCUUUGCAGACUGUAUACAAGUUAAGUGUAAUCUUUAAUUGCUGGUUUCAAUAGGCCUUGGCUGGAGAGGGGUGCUCUCAUCAUGUUACAUGUAUAAUGUGCCCACUUCACACAAGUGAUAAGCGGACUGUUAUGGCACAUGGAGAAAUCCUUGGAGGGGUUCAAUCCCCGGACAAUACAGCUGAUGCUGUGGAGGUGACGGGGAAGUAAACAGGUUCAUGCGAGUCAUUUAGUUUCCCUAAUCUCCUCCACUCAUGCCUACUGGUGGUGUAGUAGUGUGUGCUAUGUGAAUGGGAAUAUUUUCUUAGCUGUAUCAGUGCUCUCAUGAUAGACACUUGAUGAGCUUAAAUAAAAUAUAUUAGUGGAUUUUCA